rnacentral:rRNA from 1 species
GACGAACGCUGGCGGCGUGCUUAACACAUGCAAGUCGAACGGAAAGGCCCUGCUUUUGUGGGGUGCUCGAGUGGCGAACGGGUGAGUAACACGUGAGUAACCUGCCCUUGACUUUGGGAUAACUUCAGGAAACUGGGGCUCAUACCGGAUAGGAGCUCCUGCUGCAUGGUGGGGGUUGGAAAGUUUCGGCGGUUGGGGAUGGACUCGCGGCUUAUCAGCUUGUUGGUGGGGUAGUGGCUUACCAAGGCUUUGACGGGUAGCCGGCCUGGGAGGGUGACCGGCCACAUUGGGACUGAGAUACGGCCCAGACUCCUACGGGAGGCAGCAGUGGGGAAUAUUGCACAAUGGGCGGAAGCCUGAUGCAGCAACGCCGCGUGCGGGAUGACGGCCUUCGGGUUGUAAACCGCUUUCGCCUGUGACGAAGCGUGAGUGACGGUAAUGGGUAAAGAAGCACCGGCUAACUACGUG